UCCACUUUAGUAAAACAGGAUGAUUUAGGUC
rnacentral:piRNA from 1 species